AUUAAGAAAAUAUAUUUUGUAAUUAAAAAAUAUAUGUGCGGGUACCCGUGGGUACCCGCGAGUUACCCAAAAUGCCCACUGCUUAAUGAGUAUCCACCUGUUUCACCCGUAAUUUUUUGGGUUGAAAAAGUUGGUAACCAUAUCUGCAAAUUUGUGGGUAACCCACGGGUAGCCGCGGGUUUGGGUCAAGAUUGUUAGGUCUACUUAUAAGUCAUUAAAUGAUUGAAAUCGAAUGGAUAAAAAUAAUUAGAUAGCAAAAUUAAUAAAUGCUUCUGCACGCAUCUCUGAACAAAAAUUUUGCGGGCAUUGUCCCCAAACAAAUUGUUGUUUGGGGACGAUGCCGAUGGGCACAGCAUGUUGUGCGGGUGCCCAUCUAGAGAUGUCAACAAGUCAAAUUCGGGAAGGAUUUUCAAAACCCGAAUCCGACGGAUUUUAAAAAUUCAUAUCUAAAUCCGAAUCCGACCAAAAAUUCGAAACUCGAACCCGAAAAUUUGAACCCGAAACAAUAAUUUUUUUUCAAUAUUUUAAAAUAUAAUACAUUAAAUAACAUUAAUUUUUUUUUAUAUAUAUAUAUAAUGCAUAAUAAAUUUGGGUUCAGAUCAAGUUUGGGUUUGAAGGGACAGUCAAAAUUCAUAUCCGAAUUUAUAUUCAUUAAAUUUUUAUUUUUGAUAUACAUAUCGUAAUUCAUAUCCGUUUAGCACGAAAUAUUUCUGCUUUAUUCGGAUU
rnacentral:lncRNA from 1 species